rnacentral:SRP_RNA from 3 species
CAUUGGUGUCUUCGCAAUGACUGCUUGUGAACCCCGCCAGGACCGGAAGGUAGCAACGGUAGCAGGUUAGUGAUGUGCCGAAGGUAAGCUGAUGGGG